UCUAACAUGUGCGCGAGUCAUUGGGAUUUUAAAGCCUAAAGGCGCAAUGAAAGUGAAGGUCGUCCCUAGCGUCGACCGAGGGAGGAUGGUUCGCGUCACGAUGCGAGCCCGCACUCCCGGGGCGUCUCGCGCUCAUUGCGAGCGGAGGCGCACCCAGAGCGUACACGUUGGGACCCGAAAGAUGGUGAACUAUGCCUGGUCAGGACGAAGUCAGGGGAAACCCUGAUGGAGGUCCGUAGCGAUUCUGACGUGCAAAUCGAUCGUCGGAACUGGGUAUAGGGGCGAAAGACUAAUCGAACCAUCUAGUAGCUGGUUCCCUCCGAAGUUUCCCUCAGGAUAGCUGGCACUCGCUUGAGCGAGUCUCAUCUGGUAAAGCGAAUGAUUAGAGGCCUUGGGGCCGAAACGACCUCAACCUAUUCUCAAACUUUAAAUGGGUGAGAUCUCUGGCUUGCUUGAACGUUGAAGCCAUGAGAGAUGGAUCAGAGUGCCAAGUGGGCCAAUUUUGGUAAGCANAACUGGCGCUGUGGGAUGAACCAAACGCCGAGUUAAGGCGCCUAAGUCGACGCUUAUGGGAUACCAUGAAAGGCGUUGGUUGCUUAAGACAGCAGGACGGUGGCCAUGGAAGUCNGAA
rnacentral:rRNA from 1 species